GGGAACUGAAACAUCUAAGUACCCCGAGGAAAAGAAAUCAACCGAGAUUCCCCCAGUAGCGGCGAGCGAACGGGGAGCAGCCCGGAGUCUGAAUCAGCUUGUGUGUUAGUGGAACGGUCUGGAAAGUCCGACGGUACAGGGUGAUAGUCCCGUACACGAAAAUGCACAUGCUGUGAACUCGAAGAGUAGGGCGGGACACGUGGUAUCCUGUCUGAAUAUGGGGGGACCAUCCUCCAAGGCUAAAUACUCCUGACUGACCGAUAGUGAACCAGUACCGUGAGGGAAAGGCGAAAAGAACCCCGGCGAGGGGAGUGAAAAAGAACCUGAAACCGUGUACGUACAAGCAGUGGGAGCACCUUCGGGUGUGACUGCGUACCUUUUGUAUAAUGGGUCAGCGACUUAUAUUCUGUAGCAAGGUUAACCGUAUAGGGGAGCCGAAGGGAAACCGAGUCUUAACUGGGCGUUAAGUUGCAGGGUAUAGACCCGAAACCCGGUGAUCUAGCCAUGGGCAGGUUGAAGGUUGGGUAACACUAACUGGAGGACCGAACCGACUAAUGUUGAAAAAUUAGCGGAUGACCUGUGGCUGGGGGUGAAAGGCCAAUCAAACCGGGAGAUAGCUGGUUCUCCCCGAAAGCUAUUUAGGUAGCGCCUCGUGAACUCAUCUUCGGGGGUAGAGCACUGUUUCGGCUAGGGGGCCAUCCCGGCUUACCAACCCGAUGCAAACUACGAAUACCGAAGAAUGUUAUCACGGGAGACACACGGCGGGUGCUAACGUCCGUCGUGAAGAGGGAAACAACCCAGACCGCCAGCUAAGGUCCCAAAGUCAUGGUUAAGUGGGAAACGAUGUGGGAAGGCACAGACAGCCAGGAUGUUGGCUUAGAAGCAGCCAUCAUUUAAAGAAAGCGUAAUAGCUCACUGGUCGAGUCGGCCUGCGCGGAAGAUGUAACGGGGCUAAACCAUGCACCGAAGCUGCGGCAGCGACACUAUGUGUUGUUGGGUAGGGGAGCGUUCUGUAAGCCGUUGAAGGUGUGCUGUGAGGCAUGCUGGAGGUAUCAGAAGUGCGAAUGCUGACAUAAGUAACGAUAAAGCGGGUGAAAAGCCCGCUCGCCGGAAGACCAAGGGUUCCUGUCCAACGUUAAUCGGGGCAGGGUGAGUCGACCCCUAAGGCGAGGCCGAAAGGCGUAGUCGAUGGGAAACAGGUUAAUAUUCCUGUACUUGGUGUUACUGCGAAGGGGGGACGGAGAAGGCUAUGUCAGCCGGGCGACGGUUGUCCCGGUUUAAGCAUGUAGGCGGAGGUUCCAGGUAAAUCCGGUACCUUUUAACGCUGAGGUGUGAUGACGAGGCACUACGGUGCUGAAGUGAUAAAUGCCCUGCUUCCAGGAAAAGCCUCUAAGCAUCAGGUAACACGAAAUCGUACCCCAAACCGACACAGGUGGUCAGGUAGAGAAUACCAAGGCGCUUGAGAGAACUCGGGUGAAGGAACUAGGCAAAAUGGUGCCGUAACUUCGGGAGAAGGCACGCUGAUAGGUAGGUGAAGUCCCUGCGGACGGAGCUGAAAUCAGUCGAAGAUACCAGCUGGCUGCAACUGUUUAUUAAAAACACAGCACUGUGCAAACACGAAAGUGGACGUAUACGGUGUGACGCCUGCCCGGUGCCGGAAGGUUAAUUGAUGGGGUUAGCGGCAACGCGAAGCUCUUGAUCGAAGCCCCGGUAAACGGCGGCCGUAACUAUAACGGUCCUAAGGUAGCGAAAUUCCUUGUCGGGUAAGUUCCGACCUGCACGAAUGGCGUAAUGAUGGCCAGGCUGUCUCCACCCGAGACUCAGUGAAAUUGAACUCGCUGUGAAGAUGCAGUGUACCCGCGGCAAGACGGAAAGACCCCGUGAACCUUUACUAUAGCUUGACACUGAACACUGGUCCUUGAUGUGUAGGAUAGGUGGGAGGCUUUGAAGCGUGGACGCCAGUCNAUCCGGGUUGCGGACAGUGUCUGGUGGGUAGUUUGACUGGGGCGGUCUCCUCCCAAAGAGUAACGGAGGAGCACGAAGGUUGGCUAAUCCUGGUCGGACAUCAGGAGGUUAGUGCAAUGGCAUAAGCCAGCUUGACUGCGAGCGUGACGGCGCGAGCAGGUGCGAAAGCAGGUCAUAGUGAUCCGGUGGUUCUGAAUGGAAGGGCCAUCGCUCAACGGAUAAAAGGUACUCCGGGGAUAACAGGCUGAUACCGCCCAAGAGUUCAUAUCGACGGCGGUGUUUGGCACCUCGAUGUCGGCUCAUCACAUCCUGGGGCUGAAGUAGGUCCCAAGGGUAUGGCUGUUCGCCAUUUAAAGUGGUACGCGAGCUGGGUUUAGAACGUCGUGAGACAGUUCGGUCCCUAUCUGCCGUGGGCGCUGGAGAAUUGAGGGGGGCUGCUCCUAGUACGAGAGGACCGGAGUGGACGCAUCACUGGUGUUCGGGUUGUCAUGCCAAUGGCACUGCCCGGUAGCUAAAUGCGGAAGAGAUAAGUGCUGAAAGCAUCUAAGCACGAAACUUGCCCCGAGAUGAGUUCUCCCUGAGACUUUAAGUCUCCUGAAGGAACGUUGAAGACGACGACGUUGAUAGGUCGGGUGUGUAAGCGCAGCGAUGCGUUGAGCUAACCGAUACUAAUGAACCGUGAGGCUUAACC
rnacentral:rRNA from 1 species